rnacentral:lncRNA from 1 species
UCCUAAAUCAUAGUAAUCAAAAUAUCAACAAAUUAACAUAAACCCAGAAAUUGAAGACAAAAUCAGUUAACAGUUGAAGAAUCCACAUCCAAAUUGUGACAAACACGCAUACACAAAGAGAGAGAGAUGUAGAGAGAGAUAGAAAGAGCGAAAGAGGAAGAGAGAGAGUAGUGAAACCUACGAUGAAGAGUAUCUACGGCGGCGAUGAUAGGUAUGGGGCUGCGAGAGAUAGAAGUUUGAUUCUUUUUUGUUUUUGACUGAAACUGAAAUAAAAAGGGGAAAAUAUUUUAGGGAAAUAACAGAGGGAAUGAAAAUUUGGUUUCCCUCCUUUAAGAGUUUUUCUUUGUUUCAAAUUAUCCCUUUAUUAUUAUUACUAUUAUUAUUAUUAUUAUUAUUAUUAUUAUUAUUAUUAUUAUUAUUAUUAUUAU